ensembl:lncRNA
CCCCCCUCUGUGUACCUCUCUCACUCUGACUGUUUCUCAUAUUCUUCCCUCUUUCCUUUCCCUCUCUCUCUCUCUCUCUCUCUCCCUCUGUGUACCUCUCUCACUCUGACUGUUUCUCAUAUUCUUCCCUCUUUCCUUUCCCUCUCUCUCUCUCUCUCCCUCUGUGUACCUCUCUCACUCUGACUCUUUCUCGUAUUCUUCCCUCUUUCCUUUCCCCCUCUCUCUCUCUCUCUCUCCCUCUGUGUACCUCUCUCACUCUGACUCUUUCUCGUAUUCUUCCCUCUUUCCUUUCCCUCUCUCUCUCUCUCCCUCUCAGUACCUCUCUCACUCUAACUCUUUCUCGUAUUCUUCCCUCCUUCCUUUCCCUCUCUUGCUGUCUGUUUCUCUUUGUCCUUCUCUAUCUAGGCUUUUUUAAUCACGUCUUUCUGUUUCUCCUUCUCUCUCUCUCUCAUCCCUCUCUCUCAUGUUUCUUCCCACUUUCCUUUCUCCUGCUGUCCCUCUACUCUCUCUCUGUCUCUCAUCCGAUUUAUCUUUAUCUCCCCAUCUAUUUCUCUGUCUCGCUUUUCAACACGCCACCUCUCCUUUUUUCAGUCCCUUUUCGUCCCUUUCUUUCUCACUCCCUCGUUCUGUCUUCCUUUCAACGCCUCCAUCUGUUUUUCUCAUCACGUCUGUCCUCUCCCUCUCUUUCCUUGUCUGUCCCCUUCUUUUCUUUUCCUGUCCUUCCAUCUCUUUUCAUCUCUCUCUCCAUUUCAUGCCCUCUCCCCUGACUCACUCGUUUUCUCUCUUCCUCUACGUCUCUCUACCUUUUCGGGUUUGUUUUCCACUGUGUGUCCCCGUUUCUGACAAUUUUUUUGCUCCCUCCUUUCUUUCUCUCCCAGUCACACACUGUUUUUCUGACACUUUUCCCUUUACUCCCCUCUGGCAGCUUCCACACACACACACACACACACACACACACACACACACACACACACACACACACACACACAUUAGAAAGUCAUGUCAACACUUUUCUCUCUAUUUUUCCUUCUUUCUGAAAGACCUACUGUGGUAGUGUGUGAGUGACUCAGCUGGAGGUGUACAGGUCAAAGGUCACGGGUGGGGAAGGGGUACACACACACACACACACACACACACACACAUGUAACAGUCCUGCCAGUGGGUCUGCCUGCUGUUCCUGCAUCUAGAACAUCAGCUAAAGCAACAGGAAACGCCUGAGGACAGAAUUAAACUCCACCCACUCGUGGUCCAUAACUGUGGGUGGGGUUUUGUGGUGGGGCGGGGGGUUGUUUUAUGGACAGGAUAAGGUGCAUUAGUGUAUUCUCGAAAGAAGUGCCCCCCAUCCCAAACCAACACCCCCCACACACACACACACACACACCACCAUCCCCCUUUCUUACUUUCUUCCUCCUUCGAGUGCCCUGAAGGACGUGCACUUUUAGGGUGUGUGUUUUUGGCUCUGUGUGUGUGUGUGUGUGUGUGUGUGUGUGUGUGUGUGUGUUUCCAUCCUUUCCUCCCGUUAGCCGCGUAGCCACACGGGAAGCCGUUCUUUAAAAGGGCACAAUACCAAAAAAGGCGGCCAUUAAAACAAACAAACCAUGGACUCAGGGGGAAAAACAGAUAAGUCCCUCCUCUUGCCACACACACACACACACACACACACACACACGCUCGUGGAAAGUCCGAGCGGUUUGCUCCCACUACAUGACUACACACUCUUUUCGACCUCUGAGAAAUGAGUCGAGGGAAGAACAAUAAAGUUGAACAACCUCGGCCUCCAGAGGCGUUCGUGAACCGCCGGCUGAAGUAUAUUUCACUAUCUGGCAACCUUCGUCCACAAAAUUGGCCCAGUCUGUUACGGGAUGUUACGACCGCUUCGUGGGAAUUUUUUAUUGUUUUUACAAUUUAUUUAUUUAUAGAACACAGAGUACAGAGCUUGCUGCACCCCCUCCCUGCCUCUCUCCUCUUCCCGUAUUCCUCUUAGCAUUUCAGUGACGCCAAGCACAGCUAGCAUUCGUAUAACACGGACAGCUCCGUUCACAAUAAAAACUUGUUAAUUCCUUAUUUCAGGAAAAUAUAAAUAUGUCUAUGUGGAGCGACGUCACGUAGACUGAGGUAACUGAGUUAGCUAGCUAGUUACCACGAACGAUACUCAGCACAGCACAGCUAGCGCUCGUCCGUAUGCUACGUAUACUGUAUAACCAUUUAAAAAAAAAAAAAAGUUUGACCAUAAAUAAAGUAAAACAAAGAAAUUCUCGCAUCCUUAAACGCUGAGAAAUCGCUGAGAAAGAUUAGCCACGGUACAACCAUAAAGUUUUGCUUCUGCAUCACCUACCAUUUCUAGCAAACCUUAACAAGCUAGCUAGCACACUGGAAAGGUUAGCCAAAGCAAUUUAUAUACAAAUUUAUGCGCAAAAAAUCGAGGUAUCAAAAGUUGUUCCCUUGCGAUCGAGCCUGUGUGCAGCGCCACCUAGCUGUGUAUAAAAACAAAACAAAAAACCCUAAAAGCUAGUUAGCUAGCUAACAUAAAUGUCUCCAGCUAGCCCUACAUUACAUUAACUAGUGGGUUGUAACUAUACAGCUAAUCUCGGCGGUGAUUAGUGUGUUUUAUUUCGAAAAGAAACACGGAGGAUCUGGCACGUGACAUCUCAGUGAGAUGAAAAUGAAAAGUUCUGUGGAUUUCAGUCGUUUCAGAGAGAGAGAGACAGACAGAGAGAGAGAAAGAAGUUUCCAUCUAAGUGCUGUUCUUUUGUUUGUUCCUAGCAUUUUCUGCUCCAGUGAACAUUUUGAAAGGAGCGAUAUGAUAUCAUCAGCAAAAAAAUAAAUAAUAACGUGUCCUACACACACCUGCUACAUUCCAUGGAAAUGCACUCUUACUGAGUGUUUCGACAAGUUUCCACAAGAUGAUGACAAACCGUUAGUGUAAAGUAUAAAAUCACGGUGUAAUUUUCACUAUCACUUUGCCUUUACUCUGUCUGUAUAAGAGCCUUGCUAGCUGAACUGUUGGCCACAGUAGUUAGCUAGCUCACGUUUGCUGUCUAGCAAACAGCGGCGUAACUAAACUGACAUGAUAGCGUGCGGUUUCCGAGGCUAGUCGCAAAUAGCGACGAGAUAAGGUACUGAAUAUAGCUAGAUUGAACGUAAGAUACUAAAUAUUGCUAGUUUGUUGAUAAGAGACUACAUACAGCUAGACUGAAGAUAACAGUACUACAUAUGGCUAGCUUAAAAUAGCCGUACUAAAUAUAGCUAGCUUAAAAUGAGUGAAUAAAUAUAGUUACCUGACUGACUUUAUAAUGAGGGGCUGCUGUUGGUGUAUGUUAGCUAAACAUAAGGAUGACUAGCUAAGGUACUAAUUAUAGCUAGAUGGAACGUGAGAUACUAAAUAUUGCUAGCUUGAUUAUAAGAAAUGAAAUAUAGCUAGAUAUAGAUAACAGUACUAAAUACAGCUAGGUUAAAAUAAGGUACUAAAUAGUGUUACCUGGCUAGCAUUAUAGUGAGGGGUUGCUGUCGGUGUAUGUUAGCUAAACAUUAGGAUGACUAGCUUAUAUCGAAAUAUGAUAAGGUAACUUUAUAAUAAGGGGUUUCCAUUGGGUUUAUUAGCUAAAUAUAUGUAUGACUAGCAAAUAGUGACAUGAGAUAAGGUACUAAAUAUAGCUAGCUUGAACAUACCUGUACUAAACAGAGCUAGCUUGAAGAUAACGGUAUGAAAUCUAACUUUAAAGGGUGAUUAAAGUGCCAGAUAAGUUGAACACACGAAUAAAUGAAAUAAAUAAAUAGCUAGCAUGAAGGUAAGAUACUAAAUGUAGAUAGCUGGCCAGGAUUACAGUAAAAGAUUGCGACUGAAGUAGCUAAGCAUAAACAGCUACAUAGCUAAUUAGCCUCCUGGUAGUUUGUAAGACUUUAUAAAAUAACGUAAGAAAUAAAAUAAGCUGUUAAUCUGUAAGCAUAUUAUUUAGAUAACUAAACUUAAGCCGGUUAACUCGCUCACUUGUUCGCUCGCUCGCUCGCUCGCUGGAAAGAUGAAGAAAUAAGGCCCAAACUCAGAUCGAGGAAACGAGUGAAUUUCCGUAAACACACAUCUCCAGACUACACGAGAAGUUUAAUGCAGUCCAGGUUUUUUUUUUACCUGCAGACGUGAGGAGAACUUCCAAACAGAUCCAAUCAAAAAAGACGACCUCGUUUCAACAAAACGAGCCCUGCAAGUACACUCGGGUAAACAAAAUCACACACGCACACACUCGUACUCUCGCGUAUAUAUACAAACACAUACAAAGCACAUGCACUGCUUUGGAGAGAAAUGCUUAUUAGCACAGCCUCGGGCUGACAGAGCAGAUGGCUGAUUAAAGCAGACGCACACACUGCCAACGUUUUAGCCCCGGAAUUCAUCAUCAAUAAGCACGGGCCGAUGCAAACACACACACUCACACACACGACUCCACACGCAAGCCAACACACAGCGAGAUCAGUCCGCCGAGUCGGUAAUCCAAACCUCAGCAUGGCGCGCUACAUCAGACGCUAGCGGAGGUCGAUACCGAGAACUGAUAUUUCCAUGUAGCUCUCCUGUCAAUCAAUUUCAAUUCUGAAGGUCAAGUCAAGUGGAUUUUAUCGUCUUCUCGUUUUUAAACAUGUAACAAACCCGAGCCGGAGACCGCUGGACAUUUAUAUUAAGUCCUUUUUGUGUGUAAAACGAUUAAAAAUUUUAAAUUAAUAGAUAAUUAUAGAAAUAGCUCAUUUAAAACGCUUCAUAUAUCAAAUCCAGUGUUUGUUUGUUUGUUUGUUUAUUAUCAUUCCAAAUCUCCAGAAUACACAGCAUUUCUGCAGCACUACAGCUCUGUCCUUUGGCUCAGUUUAACCUCUAAUAUAAAUGCUGCAACCCAAAUACACAGCAUGUUUGGUUCACUUCCUGCACCUGAUUCAGAUUUGAUUCAGAGUCAAAUCACUUUCUCACUGCAAUAAACUUCUGCAGUUGAUUCAGAUUUGAUUCAGAGUUGGUUCAGAGUCAGAACACUUUCCCACUGCAGUAGACCUCCUUCAGUCGAUUCAGAUUCAGAGUUGAUUCAUAGUCGAUUCAGAAUCAGACCACUUUCUCACUGCAGUAGACUUCCUUCAGUUGAUUCAGAGUUGAUUCAGAACCAAAUCGCUUUCUAACUGCAAAGAGGCUUCCUUCAGUCGAUUCAGAUUUAAUUCAGGGUCAAUUCAGAGUCAGAUCACUUUCUCACUGCAAUAGACUUCCUUUGGUCGGUUCAGAUUUAGAUUUGAUUCAGAGUCAAAUCACUUUCUCACUGCAAUAGGCUUCCUGCAGUUGAUUCAGAUUCAGAGUCGAUUCAGAGACAAAUCACUUUCUUACUGCAAUAAACUUCUGCAGUCGAUUCAGAUUUGAUUCAGAGUCAAAUCAGAGUCAAAUCAGUUUCCCACUGCAGUAGACUUCCUUUAGUUGAUACAGAUUCAGAGUUGAUUCAGUCGAAUCACUUUGUCACUACAACAAAGUGGGACCAAGACCAUUCGGACCUAGACGCCGACUGUUCUGGUCCACAUCCAAGUGUGAUUGCUGUGUUCUUUGAGUCGGAGAGCACUGAGUAUCUCUAAGUCCUGACAUUAGCUGGUUUUUAAUAUGCUAAUUAAAUGCGUUUAUCAGCGCACGCUGAAAAAGAGGCGAUGGAGAGGAUCUCGAGUGUGAGACGGAUUGCUACGGGUCCUGUAUCGGCAGACUGAUAAGAUACUGAAGAGCUCGGGGGUGUGUGUGUGUGUGGUGUGUGUGUGUGUGUGUGUGUGUGUGUGAGGCUUCACGUAGUGUGUGCAAGCUAACGGAAGGGACGGUGCUGUCACACUUUCACAGAUAUGUGUUGAUAUGUGUUCAUCUCUGGCUCACAGCUGUGCACACGAGUACGCACACAAACACACACAAACACACACACACACACACACACACACACACACACACAGGCGCCACAUUCUGCCACAUGUGCAUAUGCACCACUGGGGGAGGGUUAAAUGAGCCCGGUCCUUCCUCUUGAUCCAGACACACACACGCACACACACACACACACACACACACACACACACACACACACACACACACACACUAUAGCCUUUAUUUACUUUUAAAACACUUCCCCCAUCCCUUAUCUAAACAUCACACAGACUCCAUCCACAGAGCUUCCCCUGAUCCAUCCACCCGCUGCUGAUGGAGAGAAAGCGCGAGACAACGACAAAAACAAGCAUAAGAGAAAAUAAUGUUAAAAAACAUGAUUUUUAUUAGUAGUAGUAUUCCUUUUUUUAUUUCACAUUCCCGAUCUGUAAAGACGAGGUUGGCAAAAGAAACGUACUUUUGUUAGUUAUGCUGAAAAAAAACCUUGACUUGAUCCGUACUGAACUGAAAAGAGAGAGAAAGAAAGCGUAGAAGAGAUAUAGAAAAAGAGAAAUAUAGAGUGUGAGUGAGAGAUGGAGACAAAGAAAUAGAUGUGAAAGGGAGAAAGAUGAAAAGAUACUGAGAGAGAAAGGAAUGAGAGAGCAAGACAGAGAGAGAGAGAGAGAGAGCGAUAGAAAGGUAGAAAGCGAGACGAUAUCAGAGAAGAGAAGUAAGAGAAAGAAAAAGACAGACAGGUAGAGACAGACAGAUACAGAGAGCGAGAGAGAGAGUGGACAUUAGAGUGAGGCAGAGAUAUCAAGUUAGUUAAGAGUUAGAUAGACAGACAGAAUGAAAGAGAGAGACAGACAGGUAGAGUUAGAAAGAGAGAUAGAAUGAAAGAGAGUGAGGCAGAAUGAGAGAGAGACAGACAGGCAGCGUUAGAAAGAAAGACAGAAUGAAAGCGCGAGGCAGACAGGUGGAGUUAGAAAGAGAGACAGAAUGAAAGAGAGAGUGAGAGAGAAUGAAAGAGAGAGUGAGACAGAAUGAGAGACAGACAGACAGGUAGAGUUAGAAAGAGAGACAGAAUGAAAGAGAGAGAGACAGGUGGAGUUAGAAAGAGAGACAGAAUGAAAGAGAGAGUGAGACAUAUUGGAAGAGUGAGUGAGACAGAAUGAGAGAGAGACAGACAGGUAGAGUUAGAAAUAAAGACAGAAUGAAAGAGAGAGACAGACAGGUACAGUUAGAAAGAGAGACAGAAUGAGAGAGUGAGACAGAAUGAGAGACAGACAGGUUGAGUUAGGAAGAGAGACAAAAUGAAAGCGAGAGUGAGACAGAACGAGAGGAAGACAGUCAAGUGGAGUUAGAAUGAAAGACAGAAUGAAAGCGAGAGUGAGACAGAACGAGAGGAAGACAAAUGGUUGGAGUUAAGAGAGAGAAUGAAAGACAGAAUGAAAGAGAGAUAGAUACAGAAGCAGAGAUACAGUUAGACAGAAAUAGAGACAGACAGGUAGAAGUAGAAACAGACAGAAAUAGAAUGAGACAGACAGGUAGACAAAAAGAGAGAGCGAUAUAGAGAGACUGAAUGAAAAAGAGAGACAGGUAGCGUGAAAGAGCAAUAAAGUCAGAAUGAAGGAAAGGGAGUCGGACAGGCAGAAGUAGAGCGAGAGAGAGAGAUAGAGAGAGAGAGAUAGAGAGAGAGUUGGAAGGCUGCCAGUGUGUUGAGCGGAGUGAAGGUCAGCUCGUGCUGAGUGAGGACUUCAGCCUGCACCAUGAAUACACCACUGAUCGUCCUCCUCCUCCUCAUCAUCAUCAUCAUCAUCAUGUCUCUCAGCUCAGAGCUGAUUACCUCGCUCUUCACGUCUCUCUCGCACAGUCACUACCACCGAGAGCCACGCCCACCUCACGUACAUCACGGCUUUAUCACAGUCGGAAAUCCACACCGGCCUCAGAUACGCUAACUCGCUAACACACUUCUGUUAGCUGUAUGAUUAGUGCAGACAGCGAACACACUUCUCUUCUAUUAAACAGUACUAGUAUUAAAAUGAUCAUUUUAAAAAAAUCGAUUCAAGUCCUACAUCCAAAAUAUAUUCCUCUCAAAUGCUAAAACGUUUCCUCAAAAAUGCUAACACACUUCCUUAGACAUGCUAACACGUUUCCUCAGGAACGCUAACACACCAUCAGAAAUGCUAACACACUUCAUCAGAAAUGCUAACACACUUCAUUAGAAAUGCUAACACACUUCCUCAGACAUGCUAACACGCUUCCUCAGAAAUGCUAACACGCUUCCUCAGAAAUGCUAACACACUUCAUUAGAAAUGCUAACACACUUCCUCAGACAUGCUAACACGCUUCCUCAGAAAUGCUAACACACUUCAUUAGAAAUGCUAACACACUUCAUUAGAAAUGCUAACACACUACCUCAGACAUGCUAACACGUUUCCUCAGGAAUGCUAACACACUUCCUCAGACAUGCUAACAGGUUUCCUCAGGAACGCUAACACGUUUCCUCAGAAAUGCUACGCUAACACGUUUCCUCAGAAAUGCUAACACGCUUCUAUUGUACGAUUAACACAAAUACGUUAAAACGUCCUAAAUCCAAACCGGACUCGGAUAAGUCCAAACGCCAAAACACUUCUGUGUAUUAACACGCUAACAUGUUCCUCCAGAUAUGCUAACACACGCUCCGGUUUGCUAAACGACUGCUGAACGAUGCACUGCGACGGCAGCUACGCGAACACUUCGUGAAACACACAACAUAUUUAUGCUAAUCUUUAUGCUAAAAAUCAUCCUUGCGCUGGACCAGAAGUCACGCUAACGUUCUCCUGGUGGCUAAACCGACUUCGGGUCCAUUAGCGCUCUGCCAGAUAAGAUAACACGCUAAAUAAUUAGCACACCCUGACUCUGUGCACAUUAACAUGCUUCUGUUUGGUGAAAAAGGCUUUUAAACUCUUCACAUACAGAUGCUAACGCACUUCUUUUCUGCUCCGGAGGGAAGCUUAGACACACACACACACACAGCAAGAAAGAGAGAGAGGGAAAUGGAAAGGAACAGAUCUGUCGGAGGUAAAGAGAGAGCGAGGGAACGCAGCGCUCCGAGGGAAGGAAGAAAAAGCAGAAAGCCUAAUGAGGGAUGAAGCUAGAAGUGUUGAGAGCGGCAGGCUAGCUGCAGGCACGGUAGCGUAAUGCAGCAGGGACGCCGCAACAUAAUAUGAUGAUGAGGAAACACACACACACACACACACACACACACACACACACAGCAUCCGAGCCACCAGCUGAUUUGUAUCCUCUCCUGAACAUCACACACACACACACACACACAGAGGGUUAGUGAGCCGCUAAAGGUUUGUGACUUAGCGCAAACAGUUGCUGAGUAACUUCUGAGCAGUCUUUCAUUCACACACACACACACACACACACACACACACAGACACGCACGCACACACAUAAACACGACGCUAAUCACAAUGAGAGCUGAGAGAGGAACAUCUGUUCCAGCGCAGUAAUUCAAUAACUCGCUCAAACCAGCCUUUCACGCGCCAACGCACACCGGACGGAUUAGCGAUCGCGAUCGACAUCGCAGAAAACAAAAACGCCGUGACGCUUUCACAUCGAAUUAGCGCUUUGUAUUUUACUUUUAAAAACCUAGAAAGUGUGUGUGUGUAAGUGUGUAUGUAUAAUUUUUUUCCAUAACCACACCGAUCUUGCUGGAAAGAAAGGCCUGCUCUACAAUACGUGACGUUCUUUCGCAUGCGAGCACAUUCGAGAGGUUUAACGGCUAGCGGCGUUUCUUACGAAUUCUUCCGUCUGAAUCUCUCGCCGCGCCGAUACAACGUCCGAGCGGAACGAACGUCUGCAACUGCAACUGCUAUAACACGUUCCGUGGACGUCCCGCAACGUUUAUACGUAAUGUUUUUCGUUGGCGUACGAUACGAUUACGAACGUAAAACUCCGCCUCACUUCAUGACAUCACGCCACCUUGGUGUCGAUUAUUCCGCUGUAACAGCAUCAAACGUACUGUAUUUUGCGUACAUUUUUAAAAAUAAUUUUACGAUCGUAUCAUUAUAAUAUUACAAUACAGACAUGGUUGCCAGGUAUUUUUAAUUAGCCCACCUUUUUAAUAAGCGUUUGAUUCGUUUUUUUCCUUCUUUUUUUUUUAGGUCGCCAGGGUUGCCAGGUAUUUCAAGGCCCACCAUCUUAAUAAGUUUUUUAUUCGCUUUUUGAUUUAUGUUUUAGGUUGCCAGUGGUGUGAAUAUUCCAUCCGGAAUCCUUAAGUUCAUGCCUUGUUCCGGAAAAAGACCUGAAGACAAAUUUAAUAGCGAGGAAACUGAAAAAAAAGGAAUGGGGGGUUAAUAAGAUAAUUAGCGCGUUUAGUCCGACUCCAGCUCUCAAUUUGGAUGUUUGGUGGGCGAGAAGAAAAGAGAAGCGAAGCGAGUAUGUCAUCUUUAAUUUGAGUCAAAGAUCCAGACAGGAAGCGGGCAGUGAAAAACGGAAUGGACAGAGAUUCCCGGAUUUCCUGGAUGCCCAUUCCUCCGCCCGUGUCAUUUAUAUUUAUCCCAUGUGGAUGAAGCUUAGGCAGGAUGCGAGUCCAUUGUGGUGCGACAAUAAGAAGAUUGAGGCUGCAGGAGACACAUUGACUCUGAAUGGAUGAGCUGAACAUCUGGACUGGCUGGGGGUUCGAGAGUGUGUGUGUGUGUGUGUGUGUGUGUGUGAAAGAGAGUGGGUGAAUGUGUAUGUGUGUGAACCCCUUGCUGAGCUGCACCCUGCCAGCUGAAUUUAAAGCUUUCACGCUGGACGACCUCACAUCCCUUCGUUCAAACUCACACACUCGCUUCUCGCCGAACCCUAGCAAGGGCACAGCGAUGCCGUUCGGGACGUGGCCGGAUUUCUGAGCGCAGAUCGUAAAUAUUACGAAACAAUAGACUAUCUCUUCUUGACAAUAAAACUUCUUCAUGUGAGGAGGAAACACACCACCUUCCUUCCACUCUUAGCGUCUUCACACACACACACACACACACACACACACACACACACACUCAAUAGCUCCCUCUCGUUCAUUCCUCCAUAAACUUUCUUUUACUACAAAUGAUUUCUUCAAGAAGUUCUUAACAAGCGUUUUCAGUGCCAGCGGUGGGUUGCCAGCAGUGUCAAAAAAAUCAUCCUACUGAGAUGUAAAAUCUUCUUAGAAAGCUUUGUCAGGAAAAAAAACCCCCAGAAGGCUCAUAUAAUAAUAUAUCUUCUAACCAGUGACACAAUCCCCAUAUUAAACCCUCUUUAAGCUUUAGGUUGCCAGUGAUAUCAAAUUACACCCGGAAACCAUGCAUUAAGUGUCACGAAAUCACUAGUCAAAGCACUACGCCUCCUGAAACCUUAUAAGCUUUGUUGUUACAUCUAAUCAGCCAUUUAAAAAAAAAAGAAGAUAUAAAUCUUUUUGUACGCUUUAGGUUGCCAGCGAUGUCAAAUAUCAUCUAUAAACAUAAAUAAACUGUAUUUAUGCACCAAGUAAAAAUGAAUACGCAUGACUUUCUGUGUAAGCGUUUAUGUAUGUGUGUGUGUUAAGCUAUAUUAAACCAGUGAUGCAAACCCACAGCCGAGGUUGCCAGUGAUAUGAAAUAACACCCAGAAGACAAUACGCAUUCUUAAUGCAUUUUCUGAGAUCUUUUUGAAACAACUUUUAGCAGAACUAUUAAAACUUUUGUAUGAUUUAAGUUUCCAGUGUUAAAAAAAAUCAGCCUGAGGCAAUAACAAGCAUCAUGUGAAAAUUACUACUUAAAUCUCACUUAGAAACAAUUUUUAUUUUUAUUUUUAAAAUGUGUUCCUCUAUAUUUAACCAGUGACAGAAACCUACACAGUUUAUGUUGCCAGUGGUAUCAAAUAUAACUCCAAAGAGGCCAUGCAAACAUUUUCUCUUUUAGAAAUAUUAACACAAGAGUUUGUAAGAUUUAGGUUGCCAGUUGUAUUAAACGUCUGUCUGAAGAGGGAACACAUUGUAAGCAGCACGCAAAACAUAACAUAAAAUGUACCUUAAGCUAUAACGCAUUUAUAGCCUACUUAAUGACAGAAAUCUACGUAGUUCAGGUUGCCAGUUAUCAGAAUUAACACCCUUAAGAGACUGCAAUAAGCCCUGCUAAAUCUUUUAAAAAUUAGUAACUAUAUCGACUAUUAAAAAUGUUGUAUUGCUUUAGGUUGCCAGUGGUUUUAAAUAUCAUCCAGUAGGGAGACCCAGUUUGAGACAGCAUGACAUCAUCUGUCAAGACUAAUCGUUAAAAUAAUUUAGAAAUAAACUAUGGCUCAUGUUUACAUGUAAGCAAUAACAGAAUCCUACUAUAUGAAGCCAUUGAUGUGUUUGAGGUUGCCAGAGGCAUGAAAUAUGAGUAGAUCAGGUUUAGUAGUCCAAAACAUUGCACCUACAUGGACCCCUUUGUAAGCUUUAGGUUGCCAGUGGAAACAAAAAGCAUACAGUUCUAAGCAAAAAUCAUUCAACAUAAAAAGAUAGCUUAAGCUAUAGGCACCCCAUCAGUGACAGAAACCUUCUGUAUGCGUCAGGUUGCCAGAGAUAGCAAACAUCACCCCGUUUAUGCAGAAUGUUUAAGCUGAAUUAGAAGUACAAGAAACACUCCUUACGUUCUUUCCUUAGUGACAGAAACGCUAGAAACUCGUUUGGGUUGACAGUGACAUCAAAAUCGUUCGGAAAAGAACCCAGCUUUAGGAAAUGAUCCUAGAAAUGAAAUCUAAAAACAAAAUAAUAACCAAUAUUGAUCCAGCGUAUAGUAUAAAUCGGUGCAGCUCCUGUGCAACAAAGGUAAAAACACAGACAUAUAAAUAUAAGCUUGCAUUUUAAACAGUUCUGUAUUUCCUAACGCACCAAAAUAACGCAUGCACGCGCAACACAAACACCGAUGUUUCUGAUUUUUUUUAAAUAUUCCUUUCUUUCCUGGUGCGUUUUGGAUGCGCGCGAGCCCGCACUGCGAUGUUCCCAACUUCAACUUAAUACAAAAAACAAAAACAAAAAAAACACACACACACACACAUUGACCCCCAUAUCCUAAAAUUCAGACCAACAUGUUGCAGGAUUGAUGAUAUCGCACUUACGCAUUUACCCAAGAAAAAAAACAAUAACAACGCAAAAACGCAUCAGGCUCGCGCUGGACACAGAAACUCACCGUGUUGUCGCUCUGCCGCUCCGUUAAAGCGAAGCCUCAUCCACUCUCUCUCUCUCUCUCUCUCUCUCUCUCUCACACACACACACACACACACGAUCCAAAGCUGGAGUUCCCUCUCGCGAGCAGAUCCGUUCCGUAAUCGUAGCGGUGCGCGUGCGAGUCCCCGUGGGUCUAGUUCACUCACGCGCUCGUUGUCCUCAUCCUCGCGCAGAACAGCAAAACAAAAAUGUAACCGCACGCGCUCCGAUCUCUGCAACAACAACAACAACAAAAGCGGAGAGUCCGUUCACACUGACUGCCGUUUACUCUGCUCCGUCUCUGCUCUCCGUAGCUCGCGCUCGCUCUGAGGGAGGGGAUAACGCGCGCGCGCGCGCACACACGCACGCACACACACAUAUACGCAGACGAAGGAACAGGCGCACACUGAUCCGCGAGCGCCCGCCCCGCAGCACCUCCUCUUCGCCUCAGCACAUUAAAUCACCGCGAGAGAAACAAAGGCGCGCGCGGCGGCGCACCGGUGAAACGGAAACGCGUCUCCGCCCAUAAUGGACCCCCGUGAACACACCGAACACCACGUGACACCGGGGUUAAGCCUGGGUUUGGGAGGUGCGCGAGCUUGACUUCUGUACUGUUUCAUGUUUGUUUAUUAAGAUGGACAUUUUCAAGUUUUUAAUUGGAAAAACGACAAUUCUGUCUCUCUCUGUGUCUGUCUCUCUCUCUCUGUUAGACUGUCUCUCUCACUCUGUCUCACUGUGAGUCUCUCUCUCUCUGUUAGACUGUCUCUCUCACUGUGUGUCUCUCUCUGUGUCUCACUGUUAGAUUGUCUCUCUCACUCUGUCUGUUAGACUGUCUCUCUCACUGUCUCACUGUGUGUGCCUCUCUCUGUCUCACUGUUAGAUUGUCUCUCUCACUCUGUCUCACUGUGUGUGUCUCUCUCUGUCUCACUGUUAGAUUGUCUCUCUCACUCUGUCUGUUAGACUGUCUCUCUCACUGUCUCACUGUGUGUGCCUCUCUCUGUCUCACUGUUAGAUUGUCUCUCUCACUCUGUCUCACUGUGUGUCUCUCUGCAUCUCACUGUUAGAUUGUCUCUCUCACUCUGUCUCACUGUGAGUCUCUCUCUCUGUUAGACUGUCUCUCUCACUGUCUCACUGUGUGUCUCUCUCUGUGUCUCACUGUUAGAUUGUCUCUCUCACUCUGUCUCACUGUGUGUGUGUCUCUCUGUGUCUCACUGUUAGAUUGUCUCUCUCACUCUGUCUCACUGUGUGUCUCUCUGCGUCUCACUGUUAGAUUGUCUCUCUCACGCUGUCUCACUGUGUGUGUCUCUCU